GAAGCGGUGGGCCCUUUGAUGCCCGAGCCAAUACCGCGGGAUCUUGUCGCCGAUGCCGGCCUCGCUGCAGCCCAUAUCGUCGAGUUUCUUCUCGCCCAUCGCGAAUUUUGAUCCGGGCACGCUCAGCUUCUUGAAUGAUUUAAGCCCAGGGCCUAAUUUUGGGCCGGGUAGUAAUUUUCUGUCGACCCCGACGAUUAUUUCGCCUGGGUCGUACUGGGAUUUGUUCGGCGACUUACCUUAGCCGGCGUUGGAAAAUUCGUCAAUGCGCGUUUAAUUCGGUGGGGCCCGGCCCUGCUGUAUUUUUUUUGGCCGGCUUUGUUGUCACAGAGUCAUCCUCUUGAUCCUAGAGAGAUCACUUUCUUCUUCGUCUACAUCGAGCCGCCGAGGGGGCUUUUGCUGAAAACUUUGUGCUUCCUCUCGACGGCCUUAACAUCGGAUUCAACAUUGACUCACUGUUCCAUCACUCACAACCUCCGCUCACAGCAAAACCCUAGCCUAAUUUCACUGCUUUGCAAAAUAGUGCUCUUGACCCAUGAGUACCAUUUGUUGGCAGCGGUACUGUUCAUCGAUGACACUGUUCGUUCGCUUUGCAGUUCGUCAUGGUUACUAUUUAUUGUAGAUGUUGUCUAUUGGUACUGUUCAUCACGGUACUGUUUGGCGCGAGCUGUUGUUCAUCUGGACCGCCGAUCACCUACAUACCCUAAAUCCUCACCUUCGAUGAUUGAUCUCACCUAGAUCUCGACGAUUCGAUCUCGUCCUCGUUGUCGACCACUGCCUCCUUGUCAAUCUUUGCUCGAGCCCAAACUCCACCAUUUGUUUGACAAAUCCUUAAAGAAGGGUUAAUUGUUGUAAGAUCCUUCAAGAAAGGAUCAUUUAUUAUUGGUUCAUAGAAAGAAUCAUUUGUUAUUGGAUCCUUAAAAAACAGAUCAUUUGUUGUUGAA